rnacentral:lncRNA from 1 species
AGUACUGGAGGUUUCUAUCAAGAUAUCUUUAAGCCUACUGAUUCUUUCCUUGGCCAUGUCUGAUUUACAGGUGAUAGGGAAUGAAGAUCUUCACCGGAAUUGGCCUCUUGAUCUUGGACUUUCCAGCCUCCAGAACUGCAAGCCAAAUAAACAUAUUGUGUAUAAAUCAUCCAAUCUGUGGUAUUCUGUUAUAACAGCAAAAAGUGAACUGAGACCGUUUAUGCUUUAGGUAGGACUUUUGUUUUCUAAUUGCCUAAUGUCACUCAAUCUCCAAAGUUUUAAAUCCAAACUUUUAGAUUUAUAACUUAUGGACUUAAAAAUCCAUUCCUAUUAGACUAGUCACUUUCUAGUCCUUUGAGAUAAAGUGAUGAACAAUAUGAAUAUGGCUUUUGCUCUUAUCAAAUGUAUAGUCUAAUGCAACAAGAAGUUAUUGAGAAAUGUUAACACUGAAUAGUAAUAUGAAAGGAAGAUUGCAGGAUGCUAAGUCAACCUAUACAAGAGAGAAGUAUCUAUGAAAAAAAAAGAAAUCCUUUCUGAAGAAAUAAUAUUAUAUGAAACCUUCUGUUGGCCAGAAUAAAGAGAAAUCGGGUGGGAAUAUUCUAGGCAAAGUGAGAAAAUGAGAAAAUUCCCAGUGAAGUGUGGAGCACAGGAUGUUCAAGGGACUGCAGAAAGGAUGAUCUUUUGAUCAUCCGAAUACUAAUCAAAUUAUGGAUGAAAUGGCAUGGAAAAGAGAUA